AUUGAACGCUGGCGGCAGGCCUAACACAUGCAAGUCGAACGAGUGGCGGACGGGUGAGUAAUAUAUGGGAAACUGCCUAGUGGCGGGGGAUAACUACUGGAAAGAGUAGCUAAUACCGCAUACCAUCAGAUCUGCCCAGAUGGGAUUAGCUAGUUGGUGGGGUAAAGGCUCACCUAGGCGACGAUCCCUAGCUGGUCUGAGAGGAUGACCAGCCACACUGGAACUGAGACACGGCCCAGACUCCUACGGGAGGCAGCAGUGGGGAAUUUUGGACAAUGGGGGAAAGCCUGAUGCAGCCAUCCCGCGUGUGUGAUGAAGGCCUUCGGGUUGUAAAGCACUUUCAGCGAGGAAGCGUUAUUCGCAGAAGAAGCACCGGCUAACUCCGUGCCAGCCGCCGCGGUAAUUC
rnacentral:rRNA from 1 species